rnacentral:rRNA from 1 species
GUCUAUGGCCAUACCACUCUGAACAUACCCGAUCUCAUCUCAUCUCAGAAGCUAAGCAGGGUUAGGCCUGGUUAGUAUUUGGAUGGCAGAAGACAUCAGUCACACAUU